AUUCCAGCUCCAAUAGCGUAUAUUUAAGUUGUUGCAGUUAAAAAGCUCGUAGUUGGAUUUUGGUUAAGAGGGCGCGGUCGGCCGUUUGGUCUGUACUGCGUUGUCUUGACUUCCUGAUGAGGACAUGCUCUUGGUUAACGCUGAGACAUGGAGUCAUCGUGGUUACUUUGAAAAAAUUAGAGUGUUCAAAGCGGGCUUACGCUUGAAUAUAUUAGCAUGGAAUAACACUAUAGGACUCCUGUCCUAUCUCGUUGGUCUCGGGAUGGGAGUAAUGAUUAAGAGGAACAGUUGGGGGCAUUCGUAUUUCAUUGUCAGAGGUGAAAUUCUUGGACCGUUUGAAGACAAACUACUGCGAAAGCAUUUGCCAAGAAUGUUUUCAUCA
rnacentral:rRNA from 1 species